rnacentral:rRNA from 1 species
CCUACGGGAGGCAGCAGUGAGGAAUAUUGGUCAAUGGGCGCGAGCCUGAACCAGCCAAGUAGCGUGAAGGAUGACUGCCCUACGGGUUGUAAACUUCUUUUAUAAAGGAAUAAAGUGAGGCACGUGUGCCUUUUUGUAUGUACUUUAUGAAUAAGGAUCGGCUAACUCCGUGCCAGCAGCCGCGGUAAUACGGAGGAUCCGAGCGUUAUCCGGAUUUAUUGGGUUGAAAGGGAGCGUAGAUGGGUUGUUAAGUCAGUUGUGAAAGUUUGCGGAUCAACCGUAAAAUUGCAAUUGAUACUGGCAGACUAGAGUACAGUUGAGGUAGGCGGAAUUCGUGGUGUAGCAGUGAAAUGCUUAGAUAUCACGAAGAACACCGAUUGCGAAGGCAGCUUACUAAACUGCCACUGACAUUGAUGCUCGAAAGUGAGGGUAUCAAACAGGAUUAGAUACCCCUGUAGUC